rnacentral:rRNA from 1 species
CCUACGGGUGGCUGCAGUGGGGAAUUUUGGACAAUGGGGGCAACCCUGAUCCAGCCAUGCCGCGUGCGGGAAGAAGGCCUUCGGGUUGUAAACCGCUUUUGUCAGGGAAGAAAUCUUCCGAGCUAAUACCUUGGGAGGAUGACGGUACCUGAAGAAUAAGCACCGGCUAACUACGUGCCAGCAGCCGCGGUAAUACGUAGGGUGCAAGCGGGAAGCGGAAUGACUGGGCGCGAAUGGGGCGCAGGGGUGUGCAAUCCCCGGGCUUAACCUGUGAACUGCACUUGUGACUGUACGGCUGGAGUACGGCAGAGGGGGAUGGAAUUCCGCGUGUAGCAGUGAAAUGCGUAGAUAUGCGGAGGAACACCGAUGGCGAAGGCAGUCCCCUGGGCCUGUACUGACGCUCAUGCACGAAAGCGUGGGGAGCAAACAGGAUUAGAUACCCCUGUAGUC